rnacentral:rRNA from 1 species
AGAGUUUGAUCCUGGCUCAGAACGAACGCUGGCGGCGUGCUUAACACAUGCAAGUCGAGCGCGAAAGGGGGGGGCAACUCCCCCGAGUAGAGCGGCGCACGGGUGAGUAACGCGUGGGUAACCUACCCCCCGGCGGGGGAUAACUACUCGAAAGGGUGGCUAAUACCGCAUGAGACCACGGGGUCCUCGGAUCCUGAGGCCAAAGGCCGCUUCGGCUUGCCGGAGCGGUCACCGGAGGAUGGGCCCGCGUCCGAUUAGCUAGUUGGUGAGGUAACGGCUCACCAAGGCUGCGAUCGGUAGCUGGUCUGAGAGGAUGAUCAGCCACACUGGAACUGGAACACGGUCCAGACUCCUACGGGAGGCAGCAGUGAGGAAUAUUGCGCAAUGGGGGAAACCCUGACGCAGCAACGCCGCGUGGGUGAAGAUGGCCUUCGGGUCGUAAAGCCCUUUCGGACGGGACGAACGCUCCGCGGUGACAACCCGCGGAGCCUGACGGUACCGUAAGAAGAAGCACCGGCUAACUCCGUGCCAGCAGCCGCGGUAAUACGGAGGGUGCAAGCGUUGUUCGGAAUUACUGGGCGUAAAGCGCGUGUAGGCGGCCUUGCAAGCCAGACGUGAAAGCCCCCGGCUUAACCGGGGAAGUGCGUCUGGAACUGCUCGGCUCGAGUACGGGAGAGGGAGGCGGAAUUCCCAGUGUAGAGGUGAAAUUCGUAGAUAUUGGGAGGAACACCGGUGGCGAAAGCGGCCUCCUGGACCGAUACUGACGCUGAGACGCGAAAGCGUGGGGAGCAAACAGGAUUAGAUACCCUGGUAGUCCACGCGGUAAACGAUGGGCACUAGGUGUGGGGGGUAUCCACUCCUCCCGUGCCGCAGCUAACGCAUUAAGUGCCCCGCCUGGGGAGUACGGCCGCAAGGUUAAAACUCAAA